rnacentral:lncRNA from 1 species
UGUCCUUUUGCUGUAAUGAAUAACUGUGAGUCCUUCUACUGAAUCGUCAAACCUGAGGACUGUCUUGACAACAGGGCUUUUUGCAGCAAAUGUGUAUUUGUGCUAGAUGGACUGUUGCUCCCAGCUUUUUACCACCUCCCGCCACGCCCUUUUGCCGUGUGACUUUGGGCACCUGCCCUGGAGUAGACCAAGUCUGUCCCCACCUGCUCGAGGCUGCAUGGCCAGUGGAUAUCAGCAGAGAUCAUGCAAGAGAAGGCCUAAUGCGAGACACCAGCACCCCAGAGCAGCAAAGCCCUGGGUAGCUACUAAUCCCAGAAUGGGUGGGUAGAGUAAACGUGAGCCCCACCCACAGAUGAAGCUGCUGAGGCCUGCGUGGUCCACUGGCCCUGCUGUUUUCAGACCCAUCUGCACCCCUUUCUCCGGCUCACUGUAGACCAGUCAUUCUGAAAGAGCCCAUGAAAAACACCAAGUUCUCUCCUGCCUCAGGACUUUGUACCUGCUGCUUCAGUGCCUGGAAUACUGACUCCUUCCCAUGAAAAACACCAAGUUCUCUCCUGCCUCAGGACUUUGUACCUGCUGCUUCAGUGCCUGGAAUACUGACUCCUUCCCAUGAAAAACACCAAGUUCUCUCCUGCCUCAGGACUUUGUGCCUGCUGCUUCAGUGCCUGGAAUACUCAUUCCUUCCAUUGUUUGCACAAGCACCGCCAGGGGGUGGGGCUCACAGAGGCGCACUGCGGCAGGAACUGGAUGUGGGUGUCAAGGUGGUCACAGAACAGACGGCUGGGUCAGCUCCCCAAGGAGAAGCCCUGAGCUGCCCAACAGGUCCCUCUUAGGCCCCACACUUCAGAGGCAGGGCUGCCACGCAUGCCUCCUGGAUCACCUCUUGGUGUCCCAUGGCCCCUGUGGGGCUCCUACCUGGCACAUCCUCACCUCCAGGCUCCCCCGGCUCCAACUCAGCAGGGAGGUGGGAGGUUGACGGGAGCAGGCAGGCAUGGGAGGGCUCAGCCGGGGUAUGAGGGGUGGGCAGAGUCCCCCCACCUGGCUCACCCUUUCUCUUCCUCUCCUCCUCUGGGCACCUUCUUUGACUCCCACAGGCUCCUAGCUCAGACCUCUCCACUCUUCCUGGCUUUCCUUCAGGGAGGUCAGGAAAGUCAGGGACCCGUGGAUAAAGACCAGGAGAACACAAUGAGCAGAAAAGCGUAGGCGAGCAGCUGGCAGCCACCAUCGCAUUUGCUCCCGGAAGGCAAGAGGAGGCAGAGAAAAUUCCAGAACCCAUUUAAGCGUCUGGGACCCUGAGUAGAGACGGGAUUUCACCAUGUUGGCCAGGAUGGUCUCG